ensembl:rRNA 5S_rRNA 5S ribosomal RNA
CCUUACGGCCAUACCAGCCUGAAUACGCCCGAUCUCGUCUGAUCUCGGAAGCUAAGCAGGGUCGGGCCUGGUUAGUACUUGGAUGGGAGACCGCCUGGGAAUACCAGGUGCUGUAAGCA